rnacentral:tRNA from 2 species
CGCGGAGUGGAGCAGUUGGUAGCUCGUCGGGCUCAUAACCCGAAGGUCGCAGGUUCAAGUCCUGCCUCCGCUACUA